GACGUCAAGUCAGCAUGACCUUUAUAUCCAGGGCUACACACACGCUACAAUGGUCAGUACAAUGGGUUGCCAAGCCGCGAGGCGGAGCCAAUCCUAAAAAGCUGGCCUCAGUUCAGAUUGCAGUCUGAAACUCGACUGCAUGAAGUCGGAGUUGCUAGUAAACGCAGGUCAGCUAUACUGCGUUGAAUACGUUCCCGGGGCUU
rnacentral:rRNA from 1 species